AUUCGCUGGAUGAGUGUAAAGCAUUGGAUUGAGUUUAUUCAAUCUGAGCCCUACAUUCAUCAAGGGAUUCGU
rnacentral:pre_miRNA from 1 species